rnacentral:rRNA from 1 species
AUUUUGACUGUACAAAGGUAGCAUAAUCAAUAGUCUCUUAAUUGGUGACUUGUAUGAAAGAUUGGAUGAAAUAUAAACUGUCUCUAGUUAAUUUAUAGAAAUUAAUUUUUUAGUAAAAAAGCUAAAAUAAUUUUAAAAGACGAGAAGACCCUAUAGAGUUUAAUAAUUUAUUUAAUUAUUGUUAAUAUAUAAUUUUUAAAAUUAUAAUAAAAUAAAUUAUUUUGUUGGGGUGAUAGAAAAAUUAAAUUAACUUUUUUUAUUUAUUAACAUUGAUUUAUGAUUAAAUGAUCCAUUUAUAAUGAUUAAAAGAAAAAAUUACCUUAGGGAUAACAGCGUAAUUUUUUUUUUUAGUUCAAAUAGGAAAAAAAGUUUGCGACCUCGAUGUUGGAUUAA